AAUUUUAUUUAUUAUAUUAUUUUUUUUAAUUUUUUUAUAUUUUAUUUAUAGCGCGCGCCUGUGUGCUAGAUAAGUAUAAAAGCACUUACUUUCCACAUAACUCAGCAUAUAAGAAGGAAUGACUCUUCUUUGGGAAAAAGAGCUAUUUUCAAAUUGCUAUAUCUCGAAAACAAAAAAUCACACCGAAACGAAACAAUGUGUAUUUUAAAGCUAAAAGUUCACACUUUCACAUGGCAUAAGCGAAAUUUGGAAAAACAAUUUGCUGCCUUGGUGCUACUAUUAUUUAUCAUGAAAAUUGUCGUUUUUAAUCUCUUUGAUGCCAUUUUUCUCAAAAUUGUGACGUGAUAGCCAAAUUUGGACAACGGAUUCGUGUUCAGCAGGCAAAAAUACAUACAUCGGAAAUGACUAUUUACACUCGUGUUACAAAAAAAGGUCACAAAUUUUAUCGGACAGUUAUUUAUUAUGCGUCGAAGAUAAGUGCAUGAAAUACGACAGAAAUAGUGCAACAAUCUAAUAUUUAAAUUUCAAAUAAAUUCUCACGGUUUUUUUACUGUUUUGAAGAGCUGGCAUCAAAAUAUGUAAAACGUCAUAUAUUAUGAUAUUAACGAUAACUUUGAAAAACAAUAGUGAACGCGAUGAGCAAUGAAAAAUUAUAUAUAUGUUUUUCGUAUUCAACGAAUUAUUUUGGACUUGGGAAAGUUUUUCCGCACGCGACGUAAGUAUUCACUCAACUUGGCGCUUUCGGAUGCCACUUGUUCCAAUAUCGAUGCAGUACUUCGUAACUGGAUAGUUUCGAGAUGUAACUGAAAUGCGAAAAACUUUUUCCGCAAAGGAACUCGAAAUUUAUCCAAUGACAGAAAAUCAUAAAAAAUGAGGACAAAUAUUUUGAUGAAUUGUAUUGCACCUAAAACGAAAACGUGCAAAAAAUGACUAAAACUUUUGCAUACACCUAAUAUCUAUUUCCCCCCCGCGCGCGCGCGCAAAAUAAGAAAUAAUGUACAAAGAUAAAGUUAUACACAUAUAGAACCACACUUAACGGAUUGGCAAAGACUAUCGAAGGCAAAUCCUUGCGUUGCAUAAAAGAAUUCGUAAGGCUACCUUACUGUCGUCACCGCAAAGAUGAAUAUCGAGCACGGCUUCGCGUAGCGAGCGAUGCAAAUAUUUGUUAAAAACCAAAACCGAAGUCUGUUUGUUCAGCGAGACUCGGUAAUUGGCAAUUAUCAAAUCAUCGUAUGCAUACCGAAAAAGAGGAAGAGGAAACCUCAGACACAUAAACAAUGGAAAUCAAGAGAAGAAGUUAUUAACUUUAUCUCAAUCAUUAAGAUAUUUUAUUAGGUGUACAAAUUCAAUCGGUGUUUGUUUUAAGAAAUUGACCUUUAUUUAUUUUUUUUUCGAGAAGAGAUUUAUCAGCUGCUCAAUAGAUGAAGAAACAUGUUCGAAAUUGAUGGCAAAUACUUUUAAAGAUUGACAUGUUUAUUAUUUUUUUGUAAUAAAGACUCAAUUUCUUCAAGAAAAGUACCGAAUUAAUUUGUUCAUAAUAAUUGGCCCCUCACUAUCUCUCAUCACUAUUUGCUCAUUUUUAUGUUCUUAUCUUUUAACCAUAAUAAUUUUAAAAUGUCUCGCCGAUGGGAGCUCGUACGUCGAGCGACCGAGAAUGAAAUAUUAAACACGAACGCGCGAAAUCCAGGGAACGCGCAAGCGCGACGCUGAUCCGUCCUGCCGUCUAAUGACAAUUAAGCCAAGGGCUUAACGCAUGGAACGCUGAUAUACGCGGAACGAAACCAAGCUGCAAGAAUGUCAUGAAAACGUAAUUUCCCAUUACUCUCCGCGCCGCGAGCGACACGGAACCGCUCGGAGCGGACAGGCUUAGACGCGGCCUUGCGUAGCUAAUUCAAAUGUGUGCAGAACAUAAAUUUGCCUCUCGCGCUUCCGAGCACUUCCCCUUGGUUAUGACGACAUCGUCGUGGUGGUGGUGGUGGUGGUGGUGGUGGCGGUGGGCGAUAUUUCUUCAAUUGAAAGUACGGCGCUCAGGGUCGCGGCGAUCUUGAACGUCACGCCGUCGCGUCCACUCCCGUUUGAUCGGAAUGAAAUUGAGACGAUGUCGAGAUGAUUGCCGCCGAAGAGAAGUAAGAUGAGAAGAUUCCUUCGUCGCCUUGACCUCGGAUGAGAGACAUCGACGAGACGACGUUCUCGCGCCACUCGCUCGUUUAUUUCGCCUUUAUAGCGCGCGGCAUUGAGGAUUGCCGUAAACACGUGCAUAAUGCAUCGCACGUCUCGUGCACGAUGGGUUGUCGUUGCGACAAUUACACGCGACACACGGCGGUUUCCUCGUCACGGAAACGACGGUCCGACCGCACCAGUGGCAUCCGCCGACGAGGGAGCGACGCGGAUAUUCGGCGCACGCAGCGCGAAUACACGAGCUAAUUAUGCAAUUACGGGGCGCGACACGCGCCCGAUGCCGUAAUACUCGCUGGAGCCACGAUAUAGGCGAGACAAUCAGCUGGGAAUUCAAUAGCUCCUGGAUUACUUAUUCCCGGAAACACUACAAUGUCGCCGCAAAAACAACCGCUGGACAUUACACAAUGAAAUACGUAAUGGUUUUUUAUGCGCGAUGCUACGCGCGACAUUAACCCUCGCAAUAUUCAAUAGAUAAUAAUACUUACAGUUGUUUAUUCGCAUUAUAAUACUUGUCAACUUGUUCUUCACUAUUUUUUUUAUACUUUAGUGUCUGGUCUGUUAGCCAAAUACUUAUGAAAGUAAAAACUAUUUCAAGAAAUCAUUCAUGGGAGAAAAAUAUUGCGACUACCGAAGGGUUAAACUGUGCUCCACAACAUUAAACCUAUUAUAUGAUAUGUAUAUUAACUUUACGUCAUAAAUUUAAUAAUUUACUGUGAUUUUAGUGAUUUUUCGACAAUUCUUUUAAUUUUUCCGGAUCGAAUCUUUUUUGUUAUCUGGCACGACUCGACGCGGCUAGAAAGCGUUGCUUUAUAGCAACUGUGCAUUCGUUAUUGUAGAAAAAGUAUUAUAUAUAUAUAUUAGGUAUAUGCAAAAAUGUAGUCUUUUUUCAGCGCUCUGGUAUUAUUAUUUAAAUUGCAAAUAAAUGUAAAUCACUUUUUUACAUUUUUGACAUCAAAAUAAAACGUCAUAUGUCAUGAUUUAACGAUAAAUAUAAAUUCGAAAAAUAA